rnacentral:rRNA from 1 species
UGGGGAAUAUUGGACAAUGGGCGCAAGCCUGAUCCAGCCAUGCCGCGUGAGUGAUGAAGGCCCUAGGGUUGUAAAGCUCUUUCACCGGUGAAGAUAAUGACGGUAACCGGAGAAGAAGCCCCGGCUAACUUCGUGCCAGCAGCCGCGGUAAUACGAAGGGGGCUAGCGUUGUUCGGAUUUACUGGGCGUAAAGCGCACGUAGGCGGACUUUUAAGUCAGGGGUGAAAUCCCGGGGCUCAACCCCGGAACUGCCUUUGAUACUGGAAGUCUUGAGUAUGGUAGAGGUGAGUGGAAUUCCGAGUGUAGAGGUGAAAUUCGUAGAUGUUCGGAGGAACACCAGUGGCGAAGGCGGCUCACUGGACCAUUACUGACGCUGAGGUGCGAAAGCGUGGGGAGCAAACAGG